AAGACAGUCGCGCGGGGACCAUCGAGAACAAGGAGUGCUGUUUCGAAGUAGCGGCUAGAGGGGCCCCCUGCCUCCGCCCCCGCCCUUCCGAGGAUUCCUGGAGUCCACUCACCCCUCCCCACCACUCCAGUAGCGGCGGGAGCAGCAGCGUUAGGCCGGGGUGUGGCUGCACCUCUGCGAAGGCUGUCGUGCCCCGUGCAGCUGCGGCGUUCGGGUGGGGGAGGGGAGGCUCACACCCUGCGGCGGCUUAAGCCUGGAUUUACGCACUGGAGGAGGGAAUUAGCCCUGAGAUGUCAGCCCUGUGCCCCUGGCGCUGUCCACCCGGACGCCCGCGGAGCGCCAGGCGCCGCAGCGGACCGCGCGCGCACUGAUUGCCGCAGCUACUCUCCCUGCCGUCGCCGCCCGGGACCGGGUGACAUUGAGGUUUUCGUCUAUCGCCGCUGGGCCGAUAGGGCUUCUUUUUAAGAUUUGGCUUUCCAAGUAAGAUUUUUGUUUGCCUGCUUUUCUCCUGGAAUUUUUUUGUUUUUGGUCGAAGAAGCAGGUAACUUGCAUAUCUUAAGGAAAACAUUGUUUUUGCUUUGCUUUUGUUGUUUAAAGAUCCUAAAACGUACCGUGAUUCCUUUACGUUACUAAUAAUUGGAAAGUGUGUUAAAUCAAGGGUUCGCUUAAUGUUCUUUAGCCUUUGUACAUAGAAUAUAUAAAUGUCGUGAGUCAUCUUUAC
rnacentral:lncRNA from 10 species